UACUAAUCCGCGAUUCGUUAGGUCUUAUUAGUUACUUUGGGUUAGAAAAUAUAUCCUUUUUAGGUAUUGUGGUUUCCAAGGUAUUUUAGUUGAACUAUCCAAGAUUGAAGAUGUUAAUUGGGAUAGACCAAAAUCUGUGAAUUAGGUUCAUGGCUUCUUGCACCUGGCGGAGUACUUUCAAAGCUUUUUUUUGAAAGGUUUUCAAAGAUACCAACUUCUUUGACUAAGUUGCCUACAAGAGGAGUUAAGUUUGAGUGGUCUAGAUGUCGGUUUCAGUCGACGCUAGUGCUACGGAUCGAGGAUGGACAUAGUUAUGAUCAAGGUUCUAAUUCCGAGGAUGGAAUUUAUUUUAAGGAGGGGAUGUGUAAAACUGCCACUAUUUUAAAUACCAGGUUAAUUAUGUUAGGAUAACCUUUCCAGAAUAUAUAUAUAUAUAUAUAUAUAUAUAUAUAUAUAUAUAUAUAUAUAUAUAUAAUCAUUCUUAAAAAACUUGAGGUUUAAGUGCAUAAAAAUAAUAUUUUGGACUUUGAGGAAAAUAUAUAAGUUUACAUUAUUAGACCCUAAACGUAAACUGGUGUAUUCUCACUUCUCCAAUGACGACUUCUCCUUCCCUCUCUUGAUAUUUUUCUUCUUCUAUCUUAUACAACUUUUGCAUUUUGUUUGGGUUUCAGAGAUUGAAGAUUUGGAAGGUCCUUGCGCUGUUCAAGAUAUCGUAUCCUGGUAAAUUUUUGUAAUACCCUCUAUGUAUAGGGUAUUAGUUUUGAGAUUGAUGGAAGAACUAAAAUUUAUUAUUGAUGUUGUUAGGAUCUUAUUUGUAUUGAUUUAUCAAGCUUAAGGAGGUUGAAUUUGAUUACUGAAGAACUUUUUCUAAGGUGAGGGAUAAACCAUACUUUUCGGAUUGUUGCCUCCCUUGUUAUUCAUUAUUUUUGGCAUUAUAAAAUUUGUAAUCUCAUUUAUUGACAUUUGUAUACAUGCACAUAACAUGUAUUCAUCGUCUUGUAUUAUGUUUUUGGUUUUGAAAUUCAUUUAGUAUCAAAUUAAAACAUUGUGUUUUCGCACGACUGUACUCUACUUUGAUUUGUGAUAUCUCGUGCGUUACUUACAAUUUUAAUAACCUUGAAUGUUCGCUGAUUUUGCUUUGUUGACUGCUGAAAAUGUCAUUUACUGUGUUGCUGUGUAAAUCUUGUUGUGACACUGACAAAACUUCGACUUUUAUUUUUUUUUCAUUUGUUAUCCAAAAAUUUCAAGCCUUGCCAUUUUAGAAAGAUUAUGAAAUCCUCUACAUCAUCAAGUUUAAGUUUUUUCUAAAUCUUUCAUCUUGAUAGACUAAACAACUUGUUAAGUCAGUAAAGUAGAUCUGUCUCAAAGCUAAUGAAACUGAAAACUUGUUUAAUGCUCACCUUUUUCAUUCUUUGAACAAGAUUUGUGAUUGUUUUGGAGCCUUUGGGGUUCCCUUUGAUUCAGAAUUGUUGGAUUUAUUACUUUUUUUUUUUGAAAUUGAGAAAAAGUGCACAUACUUUAAUUUAUAAAUUUUUUGGUUUUGGACCUGGAAGGUGAUUGGAACUAGUCAUCUACUUGUAUGGUAUAAUCAUUAAGUUAUGAACACCUUACUUUGUAUUUACUUGUAAGGGGUCUUAAAUAGACUAUAAUAGCUAUUGUUCCAUUUUGAUAUUUGAGGCAACACCUCAUCUUUAUAGGCCAGUGUUGUAGACUUGUUAGCAUUUGGCCAGUGCUUCUGUUUUGUUUGGCAUGUACUCUGUAGCUGUGUCAGUUCGGAUACAUUUGGCUUAUUAAUCUACCCAUGUAAAUUGUAAUUUUCAUUAUUUUUGUAUUGUUAUUAUUGUAUCAUCAACAGCAUUUACUUGCAAAUUGAUAUUUGUUUAGCUUAAUGCUAAUUAGUCCAUUUACUCUUUGGAGUCUCAGUUCUCUGUGACCUAAACUUGCGGUCACACCUCAUUCAGUGGUGUGGUGGGUUUGGAGCCCAACAUAGUGACUGUGUUGUGUGACUGCUGGACUGCUACUAAGCCUUAUUUUGGACUUUACACCCUAUAUUUUCCAAACCUAACUACAAUCAAUUUAUCCAAAAAUAGCAAUACAAAAUAAAUUUCUAAUAUGCACUUGGAAAUUACAUUAGUUUUCUUUUCCUUUUCCGCAUCACUGACUCCCUUCGAGACCUAUAAGAACUUCCUGUUGAGCUCGCUAUAAUCCUCUUCGUACAAUAGAAACAAAAGAUCUUCAUACCAGUAAUUAGUAAGAGAAAAGAUCAUCCCAUAGAGCUCCCUUAUGCACAAUGUAGCCACCAUUUUGAAUCUUCAAUAGAAAGGCGGAAUGAUGAACCUGCGGCUACUAUAAAGACGUCACUUCUGAGUCCUCAAUGCUGCUAAAGAGGCCAAUCUUAUUAAGAGUUACAACUGUACAUCUACCUCUUCCAGCUCUUAGUCCUUAAAAUGCUGAUGAAACAUUGGCUGGCACGAUAGAGUACCAUUUGUAAUCACCACGUAAGCCUCAAUCUUGUUUCUAGGUUCACAACAUAAAUUUUGGAAUCUCUCAUAUUAAGUUGAGUAACCUCCCUAGACCAAAUGUCUUUCCUAAAGGUGAUUUACUGACUAUUUCCUACUUCAAAAGCAACAUACCUAGCAAAGUGCCCCUAAAACCCAACAGUGGACUUUCCCAAGCGAACCUCAAGGGGUCUUUCUCGACCCUAAUGUGAUCCAUCUACAUGAACCCCUCCCAAUUAUAAGACGUCAACCCUCUUCCACAACUUAUCCUCCUCUACGACAAAAUGCCAAGGAUUUUUCCCUGGUUGAGAUUGACUAAACACGUCAAAAACUUGAACAACCAAACUCCCAUACUCUUGCGGGGAACAAAUUUUUUCCUAAACCAGUUGGUACUUGGCCCACUUGUCAUUCCUUGACUGCAAGAAAUUACGAACCAACUUCUUCAAUUUUUUUCUGGAACAAAGUCAGCAGCUUCAACAAAAAACUAUAGCAAGUGGGUGGGCUUGUCAAAGUACUUUUAGUAAGGUCUACCUCCCCCUUUUGACAAGUAAUGCUUCUUCCACAAGUGUUUUUUUUGCUCAAGUCUCUCAAACACAUGAUCCCAAUUGACUUUCGGCUUAUGCUUAGUCCCUAGAUGAAGUCCAAGAUAGUCUUCGCCUAUUUACAUGGACCUCCAACCCCUAGAAGGAUCCUCAAAAGGUCACAACAUAGACACACCUAAAUUUAGAACAUUUUGGUUCCUUUUUCACAAAAUUGCCGUGUCCGACACCCGCAUCUGUACCCGUGGGUACUUCAGGAUUUGAGAAGAGUCCAUGUAACAUAGGUCUUCGCAAGUAUACACAUAGCAACCAAGAAUGCAAGUUAAAGGCUCCACAUCUCAAAAAGAAUGAAUGAACCUUUAAAAUAGUAAAACACAUCUUAGGACUGCACUGCAAUUGGCAAGGGCACACAUCACAAAAAAAAUUAUGGUAUCGUCAGCAACAACUAGCGAGAGAUGGUGCUACUAGGCUAACCAAGCCUAAACCCCUAAAUCAACCCAACUGUCAAAAUUCUCCCCAAUAAGCGACUAAACACCUCCAUAGUGUUCAAAAAAGCGGUAGGCAUACCUAGGCAACGGAGGGAGCUUCAACCGUUAUUUUUACGAACGUUUUUCACUUUAUAUUUGUGUACCAGUACAACUGUCUUCCCCCAUUAAGUACAUGUUUAAAAUUUGGAUAUAGCGGAUUCCGAAGAGAAGUGAAUUGGGACUUCAUCGGUUCAUACCCAUUAUAGGUCUUUCAGCUUGUUGGUUGACUGAAACGUUUUAUUCGAUUUGCAGUUGCACCAAUUUUAUAUAUGAGAUCUCUUUCUUUUUUAGAAUUGUUUUUAUCUUUUUUUUUUUAAUAAUGUAAAUGGAUCAAAAUUUAGUUGCACAAAAUAUUACAAACUUGUUUCCAAGGAUUCUGUUUCUGCUACUUGGUAUACUUUAGCACCUGUUAGAUUCUUCCUCCAGUUGUACUUGUUUCUUUAUCUUAAUAGUAAUAUAACAUGAACAUCUUUAUGAUAGUCAAAAUAUAGUCCUGGGGUGCCCCUUAGCCAUUGUAAUAUGUUACUUUCUUAAUACACUUUAAAUUUAGAAAAAAAAUAAAAAUAAAUUUAGUUAUUUAAGAAUUCUUGACAUUUUAUUUUGGUUAUAUUGGAAUCACAAAUCCUUAGAAAGUUUAAGUCCUGCAUUUCUUAUGUUUCCUAAGCUCUUAUUUUUGGUCCAACUACUCCUUUCGGAAGAUUGUCGUUUUAGGAGAAAAAAUGUGUUUCAAAAAGUUUGUCAUUUACAACUUUCGAGGAGAAUAAAUUAUUUAUUUUCCUAUAUUACUCCUACCUUCUCUCAUUGUCCUAAGAAAUUCUCUCCCUGUAUUAAUAGUUUUCAAUUUCUCAUAAAGGGGUAGUGAUGGAAUUUCAAACAAAUUUAUUUUGGUAAAUGACACUUUCUUAAUCCAUGUGCUAAAACCUUAAACGACAAUUUUUUAGGAACGGAGGGAGUAUUAAACUAGGGAACUUUUGUUUUUUGCUCAAAUCUCAAAUAGUUGCUAGAGUACUACAGAUAUAAAAGUGGUUUUCCUGCUUUCCUUUAUUUUGUGAUGUGAUGCUUUGUGUCAAGUGUAGAUGCUUGUUAAUGACUAUUGUUGAUUGAAAUGCUCAUUAUUCUUAAAAAUGUUUUCAGUAUAAUUACCUUUUUUUCUGGUGUUCUGGUUUCAAUAAAAGGUGUAAUUUUGUCAAGUCACUUCGUGAUAGACUCUAAACUUUCUCACUAUAUUUAUGCGUCAGUUACUUUCUCAAGCAUCCUUUUCUAAGAAAGAGACGAAUAAUGAAACUAAUGCUCUGGUUCUUGAAUCUUGAUACAACUUCAUAGAAUUAUUGGUCAACACUUGAAUCAUUAGGUGUUGACCAGAUUGUUAAACACUUGAUGCAGAUUGGGCUACUAUUUAUAAGCAAGGCUAGUUAAAUCAUUAAUUUGGCUAUGAUAAGUUAUGUUCGAGGGUGCUUCUUUUGCAGACAUAAUUACCUAUUUCCUCAAGAGUUGAAAGAUCAUGAUCUCCUUCCUUCGCCAACUUUUGGGAAAUUGAUCACCACAAUGUAAAUCUGUAAGUUAUUUUUACGUUACCACCCGCAAUGCUUCAUUUUGGAGGCUAAUUUGGUACGUUAAAAUAUGUAUAAUUACUACUAGAGAUGUAAAUGAACUUAGUUGUUCGCGAACAAAGCUUGGCUAGACUCGACUCGAGUUCGAACAAGGAAUCAUGUUCUCUUAAUUAAAUGAGCCGAGCUUGAGUUUAGACUAGUUUAAACUUGAGUCGUCUAAGCUCAGUUCGAGCUCGCUUAAGCUUAGCUAAUUUAUUAUUUAAUUAAUUAUUAAAUAACUAUUUUUACACACACAUGUAUAUAAGAAUAAUUAAUUUAAUAAUUAUUUAAAUUUGCUUUAGCUCAACUAAAGCUUGGCUUGACUUGAGCAGGCCCGAUUUGAGCUCGAGUUGAAUUCGAACAAUAUAUUGAGGUUCAUUUAAAGCUCAUCUCGACUUGAGCUUGUUUAACUUUUAGUUGAGCUCGGUAAGCCAAAGCUUGAGUCGGCUUGACUUGUUUACAAUCCUAAUUACUACACUGAAGUUCAUUUUCACCCUAAUAUUGUUUUCAACUUAUUAAUGCGGACAAUCAUUUUCCUUCACAGUUUAUUUCUUUCACUUCUAUAACGAUUGAAUUGCUUCGACACCAAACUGCUUUGUUUUCAUGCCUGCUGUGAUUCUGAAUUCGCUGCUAGGUGAGAAUACUCUUCUUUAGGAGAUUAGGCUGUUUGUAUUCUUAGUCUGUUAGUGUGGGAUAAGGUGCUAUUUUGAAGCUGAGGAUGAAUAUCCAUAAAUUUAGCAGUUGUAGCUGGACAGUUUGUGGGUUUAACUGCUCAGAGUCCUCAUUCUUUUUAGAUACUGAAUAUGUCGAUAUGCCAAUCGGCUUGUGUAACAUUGGAAGUUAUUAUUAUUAUUUUUGGUUAACACCACCAGUGUAACAUUGUAAGAGUAUUGGAUUUGUAUAGUAUGAUUCUCUUUGUAAUUAUGCUUCACUUUAUCUCAUAAUACAUGUCGAGGAUGAGUCUUAAUUUUUC
rnacentral:lncRNA from 1 species